CAAGACUGAGGAAAAAGGUUUAAUACAGAUGGGCUGCAAGCCUGCAAUCAGUGAAAAAGGGCUUCUGUUCUGAGCAAGUUCUACCAAUUACCCGAAGAAGGAGUUUUAUCCUGUAUGCUUUCAGCAUCCAAACUACCACCCCUCAAAGUCUACAGAAAAGCUUCACUAACUUCAGAAGGCAUUCACGAUCUAUCCCAGUGAAGAUCUUCAGAUCUGAUAUACGUACACCCUCUCCCUUCGCAACAACAAGCACACUGAAAAGGGAUAGGACUUAGGCAGAGCAAAGAAUUCUUGCAAAAUGUCUUGGAAAAGAUAACUCAGACCACUGGAGUGAAAUGACAUAUUUUCUUUAGAUAAUAAUAAAAUGUGUCCCUAAAAUGUCA
rnacentral:lncRNA from 1 species